UACGGGGGGGGCAAGCGUUGUUCGGAAUUACUGGGCGUAAAGGGCUCGUAGGCGGCCAACUAAGUCAGACGUGAAAUCCCUCGGCUUAACCGGGGAACUGCGUCUGAUACUGGAUGGCUGGAGGUUGGGAGAGGGAUGCGGAAUUCCAGGUGUAGCGGUGAAAUGCGUAGAUAUCGGGAAGAACACCCGUGGCGAAGGCGGCUCUCUGGGACGGUACUGACGCUGAGACGCGAAAGCGUGGGGAGCGAACAGG
rnacentral:rRNA from 1 species